UGGGCGGUGGGGAAGACGACGGAUAUCUGCCCCAGCCAAUCCGCGGCUCGCAGGCUUCCGCACGCCCCCAACGCCCCGCCUCCUGGAGGCCCCGCCCCUCUUUGUAAGAGAUUAAUUGACCAAGACUGAAACUCUAACUCGUUUUUCGGGUCGGAAGUUCCACUGAAGUCGGAAUGGCUCCUCUGUUUCUCUCGAUGAUUCUGCUGGUUUGUUGAUCACAUAGCUGUGCCUUCUGUCUGACAAGAGUGGACUUGGGACUUAGUUGUGGGCCAUCAGAGCACUCUCCACUGCUCUGCCCUGGGCUUCAUCACAGCUGCAGAGAAGACCGCAGAAGCAUUAAACCAACUUGGAAAGAAGAGCCACAAGAGGAAGAUAAGGAGUUUCCAGAUGAUUUUCAACAUGACACUCACAAUCUCCUCAAUCAGACACCAACUGUUUCCACAGCUUUAACUCCCUUCCUCUCCUUCUAGGUAAGUCAGUCAGUCUUCCUACCUUAGCCCAAGUACACCUUUCUUUCUCUGAC
rnacentral:lncRNA from 1 species